rfam:Ficedula albicollis isolate OC2 chromosome 5, whole genome shotgun sequence.
AAAUUCCUGGAAGAUGUCAGGGAUGUUUAGAAGAUAAAAACCCCUCCUAUUUAGGGGUUUUUUGUGUUUAGAAUCUGUGCCAAGGCAUUGGAGCUGCAGUGGGAAUCUGUUCCCUUUUUUC